UACGAAGGGUGCAAGCGUUACUCGGAAUUACUGGGCGUAAAGCGUGCGUAGGCGGUUUGUUAAGUCUGAUGUGAAAUCCCCCGGGCUCAACCUGGGACCUGCAUUGGAAACUGGCGAGCUAGAGUACGGUAGAGGGUGGUGGAAUUCCCGGUGUAGCAGUGAAAUGCGUAGAUAUGCGGAGGAACACCGAUGGCGAAGGCAAUCCCCUGGGCCUGCACUGACGCUCAUGCACGAAAGCGUGGGGAGCAAACAGG
rnacentral:rRNA from 1 species